UAGGGAAUCUUCCACAAUGGACGCAAGUCUGAUGGAGCAAUGCCGCGUGAGUGAAGAAGGCUUUCGGGUCGUAAAACUCUGUUAUUGAAGAAGAACGUGUGUGACAGUAACUGGUCAUGCAGUGACGGUAUUCAAUCAGAAAGUCACGGCUAACUACGUGCCAGCAGCCGCGGUAAUACGUAGGUGGCAAGCGUUGUCCGGAUUUAUUGGGCGUAAAGCGAGUGCAGGCGGUCUUUUAAGUCUGAUGUGAAAGCCUUCGGCUUAACCGAAGAAGGGCAUCGGAAACUGGGAGACUUGAGUGCAGAAGAGGAGAGUGGAACUCCAUGUGUAGCGGUGAAAUGCGUAGAUAUAUGGAAGAACACCAGUGGCGAAGGCGGCUCUCUGGUCUGUAACUGACGCUGAGGCUCGAAAGCGUGGGUAGCAAACAGGAUUAGAUACCC
rnacentral:rRNA from 1 species